rnacentral:tmRNA from 1 species
GGGGAUGUCUUGGAUUCGACAGGGGUCAGUUUGAAUUAGAUUGCAGCCGUAGGAGUACGUUAACCUCACAAACAAAUAUCUGGAAACAGAACAAAUUACGCUUUCGCUUAGUAGCUAAUUAGCUCGCGAAUGCAGGCCUUUAAGAGCCCACGCUUGAAGUCACCUGUAACAUAAACAAUGUGGGAUAAGGUCAUAGUGGGGUCUCACAUUAUGACUCGAAAAUCUAGAGAAUCGGUAAGUGAAAGACUGCUUGUGGAUCGUAGCUUACUUAAAUUCAUUCGACAAGAUAAGCUGUAGACGUCUAAUAUGGGACGGCUUUUGGACAGGGGUUCGAUUCCCCUCAUCUCCACCA